CAAAUUUGUCUGGUCCGAGCAAACAAAAAACAAAACAAAAAAAAUCAAAAAAUAUUAUAAUAGUCCUUACAGUCCAAUUACAGAAACUAGAGGCCCAACUACAAGAACAGGCCCAACAGGCCUAUAGCUCAGUUACAUGACCCAAAUUCAAAAAAAAACCUAAUACAAGCCCAACCUCAAAAUUACAUCGGCCCAAAUGGCCCAAAAAUUUUAGAACAGAAACCCUAGCAGUUCCUGCUUGCGCCUCAGCCUCCCACGCGCGCCACCACCUCCGUACGAUGCCAGCGCCGUACGCUCCGUACCGUCCAGCAGCCACGCCCGCGCCAGCACAGCCCCGUACCCGAGCGCCAGCACAUCCGCACCUGCAGAGAAACAAACAAGCAACAACAGCAAAUACAAACAAAAGAAAAAUAUUGUAUGAUUAUUUUGUUAAAUUUCUUUUCUCUCUUUUUCGGCUAUAAGGCCGAGAUUUCAAUCCUUGUAAUCGGUUACGAACGAAAAUAUACGCACAGAGAAUACAAAAAAGCAGAGGUGACUUCUUUCUUCCUCGAAUCCUUUUAGUUUUCUAUGCAUCGUUUCGUUUCUAGUUUGGGUCAUUCACCAUUGCUGUUUUAAAGAAAAAUAAACAAAAGAACGGUGACAGAGGAGCCUUACCGUGCAAGCGAGCCAUGGUUUUCUUCUCCCUUCUUCGUCGAAAUCGAAGUUGAGGAGGGAUUUCGGGCUAAGAUUCCCUCAGGCUCGAAGAGUCCCACACGAUGAAGACGAAUCGGCAUUUAGCAAAUGGGAUUAGGGAUUUGAAAAUAGGCAGAAUGGGUG
rnacentral:lncRNA from 1 species